rnacentral:rRNA from 1 species
UACGUAGGUAGCAAGCGUUGUCCGGAUUUAUUGGGUUUAAAGGGUGCGUAGGCGGCUUUGUAAGUCAGUGGUGAAAUAUGGCAGCUUAACUGUCAAGGUGCCAUUGAUACUGCAGAGCUUGAGUACAGAUGAGGUAGGCGGAAUUGACGGUGUAGCGGUGAAAUGCUUAGAUAUCGUCAAGAACACCUAUAGCGAAGGCAGCUUACUAAGCUGUAACUGACGCUGAGGCACGAAAGUGUGGGGAUCAAACAGG